CGUACAUUACAUGUACGAGGAAAGUCCGAGCUCCAUAGGGCAAGGUGCCGGGUAACACCCGGUGGAGGCGACUCCAAGGAAAGUGCAACAGAGAUAUACCGCCUGGCACUCAGUAUGCUAAUCAAUAUUAUACGCAUAAUAUGAAAAUAUUGCGUAACAUGCUGAGUACCGGGUAAGGGUGGAAAGGCGAGGUAAGAGCUCACCAGCAUCCAGGUGACUGGAAUGCUCUGUAAACCCCACCUGGAGCAAGGUAGAAUAGGAGGGAAUUUUAAGUGGCCCGCUUAACCCUUGGGUAAAACCGCUUGAGGUAUC
rnacentral:misc_RNA from 1 species